rfam:Colwellia sp. Phe_37 scaffold_461, whole genome shotgun sequence.
CUUCGUCAAUUUGUUGCGGACAGAUAAAGUGAAUAUGUGCAUCGAUUCCACCUGCCGUUAAAAUUUGUCCUUCGCCAGCAAUAACUUCAGUACCUGGACCAAUUUCAAUAUCAACAUGGUCUUGAAUAUCUGGAUUUCCUGCUUUACCAACCAUGGCAAUACGCCCAUUUUUAAUGCCAACAUCUGCUUUAACAAUACCCCAAUGAUCAACAAUGAGCGCAUUGGUGAUCACUAAAUCAACAGUUUCAAAACAUGAUGCUUGGCUUUGCCCCAUACCAUCACG